GCUUCCCGCCCGGGCCCGGCGGCCGAGGGGCGGCGCGGCGGCUCUGAGGCGAGCCGGGGGAGAGGCGGCCGGCUUGAGGGUAGGGGGCCCGCCGCGGGGCUGCUCCCUGUAAUCCACCCUCCUCCCGGAGGAGCGGGGCUGCCCGGGUCCGGGACGGUAAGCUUCUGGGGAUUUGAUUUGUUUGCAUCCUGUGUGGGUUUCAGCAUUGCUUUUAAAAUGUGGACACCAGAACUUUAUGCAGUUUCAAAUAUCCACCCCAUUAGUGCUACGUACAAAGUCACAGCAUCACAUUGGACACUUAUGGUGAGCUGCUUCUCUGCUAGAGUUUCUUCAAUGAAGAUGAUCCAGAAGAUCAUUUGUAAGGUAUAACCUGUACUUCAGCUAUGAAGGUAUUCAGCAGUGACUUGUUUUAAUGGAACCAGCUUACCUGGUGAGCCGUAUUGCUGAAAUACUGUCAUUUCCUUUCUCCUAAUAUUGACGUCACAAACAUCCAGUUGUGACUUUUCUGUUUACAGGGAGAGAGUGUUGACGAGCAGCAGAUCUGUUUGUAAUCCUUGUUGAACUACGUAAAAGAAGUAUUUUCAUUUGUUUACAACGAAAUUUAUAUCUUGUUCAUAACCUCUUACUGGAGCAUGCUUUUUGAGAUCUACCAGCUAGUUUUUAACCCAUUUUACCCCAUUGCAUUGCUUGCUAGGAUUGCACUAUGUCUGUACCAUAUAGUAAUGUGAAAAACUAAGUCCUCCAACUAUUCAGUUCUGUUAUACCUGCACAAUUACUGGCAUUCAAAUUUACAAUCUUUCAGAAUUAAACCAAAUCACACUAUUUGUGUAAGAUCAUAUAUUUGUUGCGUUCACUCCUUUUACCUUCUUAAAAGUGAAAUCCCACAUCAGCCUUUACAUUAUUUUGGCUAGGUUUGCUGUCAGGCUGUAUUUAUAGUCUGAACUUCCCUUUGUAUCUUUGAAAUUGAUUGUAAUGGACAUUUAAAAGAUGCUUUUUAAACCAGUCAUUGUCUUGCCAACCCAGCGGUUUUCCCUUAUGUCUUCAUUCUUCUAUAAUUUAUACAGUGUAAUUUAAAAUGUCUGCUCUCUAGUUCCCUUUUCUGUAACCUGUAUGCUGUUUUACUUUUUCUUUUGUUUCUGAUUGAAUUUUUAACUCUACUAUUGCGCCAAGAUGCAUGCUUUUUCAAUUUUUUUCUUGAUAAUAGAACACUGGCUCUUUGUCACUAUAGUAAGCUCUUCUUAAUUUUGGAAAGUAAAAGCUUAAGGAUUUUGAUAGUUUCCCACCCCACAGGAAGGAGUUGAAUGUUAUAUGGUAUUUUUUUUAAGCACUGGGAUUUCAGCUGUGUCAGGAGCUUUCUUUGGCCUCCUUGGUACAGCUAAUUUGCCCUUACUGCUGGCACGGCUAUGUAGGUGUGGUUGCGGCUUCAUUGAUACAGACCAUUCCUCUGUUACAAGCCAACUGUCAGACGAGUUGUUACUUCAGAUGUAUUCUGUACUGGUACAUUGCUACCUACAGCUACAACCGAGAAAAGCGUUCACUGGCAAACAGUCCUUUGAUGCCCGUCCAUUGAGCAGGGAAGCGCCCUUAUGCAGGCCCCGGUAUGCCUGUGCAAUCACAUCAGCUGCGCAGCCUCUUUUUCCAUCCCUCUGCUCUUCUUCCCACGUGAAGAGAGGCCUACAGGCAAGCGAGGGAGUUGUCUGGAAUAUCCUAGCCUUACUGUCGUCCUUUGUUUUAAGACCCUCAUGGCUGCAAGAGUGGGGUAUGCCAAACAGCUUUUACAAAAGGGAGAGGGAAUAGUGGAGGGGAGUGGGAGCAGGAGCAGAGAGACUGCCUCAGGGUAAAGAGUCUGAUUCAGAGUCUUGAAAGUGUGCAGGUAUGGCAUUCACAGCCUGCUAUAUAGACAAGUAUUUGAACUGUGUACUUAAGGUGCCUUCAAUUCUCACCUGUAAUGGCAUGCAAGUAUAAAUUAAAUUGUUGAAGUAGUGCUCUCUGAUAUUAGUAACAGUAAUGGUACUGUAAUUGUAAACACCUUGCUAUGCUUUCUUUCAAAUUUUCAGUGUAAAGUUGAUUUAAGAAAAAUGAAAAAUUUGUCGUGUACUACAGCUAUCAAUAAUCUACAAUAUUUAUCAGUAUAGAGCUUAGAUGGUUGUUUUUCACACUAAACAUGCUGGUUUCAGUUUUGCCUUUGUCAUUUUUAGGUAACUAUUACAUAUUUUAACAAACGUGAAAGUACUCGUAAAAUAAAUCAUCCCAUUCAACUUUUUAAGCAUUUAAAGUAUGAUUACGAAUGUCCAGUUUAUGACAUAAAAAGGAGGGUGAUCUAGCAGGCAUAGAAACUCUUUGACAGGAGCAUUUUCAUGAAUUUUAAAACAGAUUCCCUCCAGCCCUGUUUUCUUACAACUUUUGUCUUUCUAUUCGAUUCAGCUUCUAUACGGGACAGCAGAAUGUGUCAGAAACCUUUAAGUUCUUUCAAUGAGUAUCAGGCAUGUUAAUGCAAAUACAUCACGAGUAAUCCCUCCGUAAGGAGAGACAGUAACAUAGCCCACACGACAUCAGUAAAGUGUUUACAAGGUAUUAAUAUGCCUACUGUGACAAGAUGUAUUUAAUGGGAAGCAACAAGGAAUUUGUUUUAUUAGUUUUCCUCCACCCUCAAGUAAUAAAUCUUAAAAGCUUCAAUAUUGAUUCAAUGAAAUGAAUGGCUGAAUCGUUCUGGAGAGGCUCUGACAAGUGGACAAAUGCUUCCAUGGUUACAUUGUGCUAUGCAGAAUGGUUACUGAGCUUUGUUGGUUUCCUCCCUCUGCCAUUCAAGUAAAAUAACAAACCACAGGGAAGCACCACACAUGGUGGGCAUAAACUGGAAACAACUUUAAAAGACCAAGUUAGCUGAUCUUAUACAGACUUUACACAAUAUGGGUUUUAUUGAUUUAUACCGUAUACCCUAAGCAUGCAUUUCGGUACUUUCUGCUUUGUACAUCACUUUCUCAUGGAAUAUUUUUAUAUCUUAUCUGAACCAUCUCUCGCUUUCAAUUUGCAAUGCCAUAAAUUAAAACACUGUGCGAAAGUGUGUUUCAUAGUAGUGUUACAUGGGUUAUGUUUUUCUAAGAAUAUUUUACGUCAGGUGAUGUUACUGCAUCGAUGCGGGCUUCUGCAAUACCGAGAUAAUAACAAAUCAUGUAUAGAACUUUUAUGUGCAGUUGUUUUAGGGUGCUUUGCAGUAUAGGAUAAUUAAGUGGUUUGAUUUCCCAUCUCCUUGCAUCUAAUGUACUCAAAUUUCAGGUGCCACAGGGAAGAGGGAGGUAAUAAACACUUGAUUUCACAGAUAUCAUGUUGAAAAAAAACAUAAAAAGUAAUGGCAUACAAUUGUUUCAUUAGCUUAAAAAUGUUGCCGAUCAAGCAUUACAUUAAUAGAAGGAAAUCCCGAAGACCUUAGAUUUUGUUCAGGACAGAGUGUAAAUGGAACUGAAAGCAGAUGUGUUGGGAGUAGUUGCUUCUUUUUUCCUUGCAGACCAACUCUGAGAAGAGCACGUGCUAUCCUCUGUACUAGUAGCUGAGAGGGGUUAUUUUCCUCUACAUGGCUGAGAGUCCCCAGGAUCGCUGUCUCAGCAUCUGAAUGCUAAGAUGUUCCAGUGCCCCUCUGUAGACACAAUUUUGCUGUGAGGAUGGAUGCCAGGAUUCCCCACAGCCAGGAAAAUAAAUUCAUAAACAUGGAGGGCAGUUACUUCUGAGACAGAAAUUCUGGCCUUAGCGCUGUCAUUGGAAGCUUACGUUUAUUGUGGCUACUUAAUUUCACAUUUACUCAAGUAUCACCUCUUUGAUCUUUAGGGAAAAAAGCAAGCAGCAAAUGACUAGACACUUCAAUGUUUCACUUAAAGAAUUUCAGAAAAUAGUCAACUCUAAAACUGAAAGUCUUCUGUGUUUCCAGGUAGGUUUUUUUCCCCAUUUGAAAGGAAUCAAACAAAAUACCUAUCUGUGGAUUGGGAAGGCAAGCAAAGUUGUAUGCAGCAGCUGGAACCCUUUUGCUUUUAUCUUUAUUAGUCUGAAAUACUUUUUGAGGACUUUGAAAUUAAGAGCAAUCAGGAUGCAAGAGAUUAUGGAGAGAUUUUAAUACUUUUAUUACAUUUUACAUUCAGAAAAAAUGCUUUUGGUAAGUGUUCCUUUUGAAUUUGCAGUCUAGUGCUUGACAUGCUCUGAAGUUGUGUGUUUUCAGUAAGUUCAUGGAUGUUUGAUGAGAAAGCUUCUGAUAUUCUGCAUGCUAUCUGCAUAGUCAGUGACAUUCUGCAAAUGAAGAGCUGGACACACUUGAUUGGAAAAACAAGACUGCAACUUUAUUUAGCAACAAUAAUUGCACAAGAGGAGCAGGCAGACAAUUCUUGGCAAGUUCUCAUCUUGCUGUUUCUCCAUGUGACCUACAAGCCAGUAAGCAUCCACUGUGGUUUGAAAGGAGCCACUGAACAUUGCAAGACCAAGCCUUCUCUUCAGAGAUGGCAUUCUUUUUGUGUCAUUAUAAUGACACAAAACGACAGAAAUUGUGUCAAAAUUGCAUGCUGGAGCUUGAUCAACCAAAUCUGAGAUGCAGUAAGUUGAGACAAAGAAGUUAUUUUGUCAUUAAUUUGUACAGUUUUUUUACACUUGAACGUACCUAAAUUAACAUUUUCUAAAAGUCUUCUCAUUUUUUUGUGGAAGUCUUGUCAAAUGUCUAGCUAAGUUCAGUAAUAAAAAGGUUAUGAUUAUAUGAAUGGCAUUUCUGCUGUGAUGUGUGUUAAAAUAUAACAGCCUACCAUGAGCAGAUGCCAGGGAACAUUUACAUUUUCCCUGUCGUAGGAAUACUUCAAUUUUUUUCCAGUUAAAAGCUCUUUUUAAAUGUCUACAUCAGUAUGCUUUAUCAGUAUACAAAUAAGGAGCUGUACCAUAAAAAGGUUAACCAUUGCCAAACUGAUCACAGGAGGCAUAAACAAAUUAAUGUUUGCCCAUCAAAAAAGAGCACUAUCUGCUUGGAAGUUCUCAUUUUUCAGUUUCUUAAAUCCUAGACAUCUCUGACAAAUAGAGGAUCAAAACCUGAAUUUUAUCUAUAUCCAUCAGCACAUCAGCCAGUCCAGCAUAAACCACUGGGCCAGAAGCAUAAUACCCAAAUUUUCUCAUUCAGUCUUCUCAGACUAUUGGUACUCUUUGUAUUUGUCUGCUUUCUGCUCUUUUUUGCAUGUGUUUGUUUAUUCUUCAGGAAACUACACAGUAAAAUCAAGAUUUUAAUAUUAAAGCAUUCCCAGCCUGUCAAGAAGGAUGUGGAGCAGUUCAGGAAAGAGAGCAGUGCAAGUGCCUGGUACUACAGAAGAGGCAUCGGUGGUACCUGACAGUGGUUGUGCAUUUCUUCGGUGCAAGGUGGCUGGACUGAAGUCACCAGAGAGUGCAACAGGAAAGUGAUCAGGAACCUCAUUUCACAUUCUGAAGAACAGACUACACAAGUGUGAUCAUGAGCUGCGAUGGGAUUGUGGCCAGAAGCCUGGUAAUACAGCCUAGUCAGGCUCUGAGGUGAGCACACCUCUUCGGUAUGAGUCUUGGUCGGUUCUGCCCUCUUUCAAGGCAUGACUUUUGGCAGAGUUCACUGAAGAUUAUGCUGCCAAAGCCACGUUGUGUAAUUCUAAUUGCUGUUCCAAUGCUGCCAGUUAGAUCUGCUCCUCAGGGUGAAUCACAUUGAGAAGUACUACUAUAAAGAACACAGCGAAUACAUCCUAGACAUCAGCCAAGCAAACAAUUAUCUGAAUGGAAUCAAAUGUAUAUUUGUCCAUGUAAAUUUACACCUGCACAGGGAAGAAUAUAAGUGCUUGUGGUCAUUUAUAAUCAUAAUGUUCUUAAAAACUGUCUGUGUUGCAGAAAUGCUCACCACCAUGGACCAUCGUUCAAAGAAAAUCCACUUUUAAAAAAAAAAAAAAAAGCCAAAACAAACCAACCACCAAACCCAGGUGAAUUUCUUGCAGGAAAAUCAUCUGUGUCUUGUUGAUUACUCAGUGAAGAGAGGCCCAAGAUCAGCGUCAGUAUUCUGCCUAUACACUAGAACGAAUCAGAACAGUGUCUGAUGGACGUUAUGUGUUUUUUGAAAUGCGGUGUCAUAUUGGAAGUGAUUCACUAAUAAAUAGGAAUGAAGUAAAGGUAA